UCGUUGGAGAGUUUGAUCCUGGCUCAGGACGAACGUUGGCGGCGUGCCUAAUGCAUGCAAGUCGAACGAGGGACCUUUUCCGGGCAACCGGAGGAGGUCACCUAGUGGCGAACGGGUGAGUAGCACUUGAGGAACCUGCCCCGGAGACCGGAAUAGCCCAGGGAAACUUGGAUUAAUGCCGGAUGUCCUCGGUUGGCCGCAUGGCCGAUCGAGGAAACAGUCCGCUGCUCCGGGAUGGCCUCGAGGCCUAUCAGCUAGUUGGUGAGGUAACGGCCCACCAAGGCGACGACGGGUAGCUGGUCUGAGAGGACGAUCAGCCACACUGGGACUGAGACACGGCCCAGACUCCUGCGGGAGGCAGCAGCAGGGAA
rfam:Actinobacteria bacterium RBG_16_67_15 RBG_16_scaffold_3769, whole genome shotgun sequence.